CCAGGGGCUCACCACCGUGCCAUCCCCCUGGGAGCCCGUGCUCCAUCCCUCAGAGCUUGAUUCUCUUCUCAGAGCCUGUCUCUCUGAUCCUAACACAGGUGUCGUUGUGCACAGACAGAAAUAAUGGGGACUUAAAAAGAAAUGAAUUCAAUUAACUCCCUAAACCCGGUAUCCGGCGGAUCAGACCUGUUGUUUUGAGUCUCCUGCCUGUCUGGGCCCAGCGGCCCUUUACACUUGUGCCCAGAGCGCAGAGAUGGCUUUAUCGCCUAUGGUUUACGCCUUACAUUAAACCAACUGCUUUUCCUGGAAUGUUCGAUGGUUUCUUAGCAUAUUCCGAGGGUUCCAGAAAGAGGAUGAGCUGUAACUUACCCAUUCUCUGGGUCUGUUGUUUGUUCCCCGACCUCAGAGAUGGUGCCCCACCGAGUGUCUGCGGCCUCUGCUUCUCCUCCUCUCCUCAGGCAAAGCUCCGGCCAGGGUGGUCCUUUCAGAGCAGGGUGACCCCAGCCGGCCCUUCUCUGUGAGGUCAGGGACAGGAGGCAGAAUGCUUCCUGAGGGCGGAAUGUCUGGUUUCUGGGCCCUGCGGUUUUCAGUGACCUACGUCUGAGCCGAGGUGGCAGUCGUUGACCGUUGUCGACACCACUGCCCGCAGCUGCCAUCCCCCAACAGCUGACCCGGUUCCCUGCAUGUCGUGCUGUGAGCUGGGCUAUUCUACAGGAGGGAGGAGAGGUUUCCGGGCACAAUGCUUAACUGGGGCUUCAUUAAGCCAGCCAGGAGGUCCGUCAGUUUGAACCCUCACACGGGGGCCCGACUGGCUGGCAGGAGCCAUUUCGUAGACUCUCUGGAGCAUUUCAGAUGUCCCUUUCCUGUGGGCCCCACACUCUGCCUUGGAUUGGCCGGCAGUCAUUUAUCCACGCACCUUGCCGUCUCUCUCACACUGUGUGAACUGUCCCAGCGCGGGGACCGUGUCUGAUUAACCUCUGUCUCCUCUACCGCGGCCAGCACAAGGCCCAGCUGACAGAGGUGCUUGAUUUGAAUGAAGGGCACUGAUUUGGGACCAAAUCUCCUGACUUGAGACGGUUGCAGACCCUUCAGACAGGAGUCUGAAGAUCCGGGGACAAGACUUGAAAAAUGCAGAGACCGGGGCCAGCAGUCCAUGGCCAGUGCUGAGUCUGUGGGAGGACGAGGACUUUCAGGGAAGACUCAAGACCUCUGUGGCCAGGAAAGAGCCUGACGUCCCAGGUCACUGAGGCUGGAGCCCUGUGAAGUGUGUUGUGCCCAGCUCUGGAAACCGUUCUGUUUCUGUGCUGCAGUGGCGGUGGCCACUGUUUUCCAGCAUGAUGGAUUGGGGGUCCCGCCUUCCUUCCCCAGCACAGACCAUGGAGUCCAAUCCAGCUGCUUCCUGUGAGCAGCUGCGGGAGUCCUUGGACUGAAUUUCCCAAGCACUGCUCUUGCUGUGGGUUUUGUUGGUGGUGCCUGUGGUCUCAGACAUGCCCAGAAGCUACUGAAAAUUAGUUGGCGUGUUAACGACAUUUGACGCAUCAGUUGAUAGUAAAGUAAAAACUAAGUCUCGGCUUUGAGUUUAUAUUCUGCAGUUUUGUUGAAUUAUGUCCAGAUGGUUGUCGAGAUAAUUUUUCUUAACAGAUGAGGGCAUUUGCAAAAACCAACAAGUCUAUGGGGAGACAAAUAACUUUACGCUAAGGACUGUGGGACCUGAUGGCACCUGAGCUGGAAAGGCCCUCAGUGGCUUCGAGGCCAGCCCUGGAUCCUUCUGUGGCUGUGCAGGAGCAGGGGGUGGCAUGCAGAUACGGCAAAAACGAAGAUGCUGAAGCUGGGAAAAUGUGGUUCCUGAUCUCAAAACCGUUUGCAAACUGUCCAGUCCGCUACACCGGCGGAAGCAGCAGCAGUGCCUCAGGAAGGUGAAGCAGGGAACUGCAUCCAGCUGCCCAGGAACGCUAGCAUGUACCCAGACCGAG